rnacentral:lncRNA from 1 species
GGCAGAGUGUGGCCAGCACAGCCAUCUCUACUCCUUUUUGUUUGUUUGUUUGUUUGUUUUUGAGACAGAGUCUCACUGUGUCACCCAGGAUGGAGUGCAAUGCCGCUAUCUCGGCUACCUGCAACCUCCGCCUCCCGGGUUCAAGCGAUUCUCUUGCCUCCGCCUCCCAAGUAGCUGGGACUACAGGUACACUACCACACCCGGCUGAUUUUUUUUUUUUUUUAGUAGAGAUGGGGUUUCACCGUGUUAGCCAGGAUGGUCUCGGUGUCCUGACCUCAUAAUCCGCCCGUCUCGCCCUCCCAAAGUGCUGGGGUUACAGGCGUGAGCCACCGCGACGGGCCGCCAUCCCUACCGUUUACAGACAGCGUCCAUCUCACUGUAGCCUAAGGAGAUUUGCUAGUUUGAGUCCUGGGAGAUGAGAUGGGGAAGAUGGGCCCAAGCUGCAACAUGAAGGUCCAUGAUGAACAGUUGGCAUCUCCUACAGUGCCUGCCACUUGGUAAUGUUCAAUGCAGCCAAGGGAGCUAAGGUAAUGAACAAAACAGAGAAGUUCCUACCCUCCCUGAUGUUCAUUCUAGCAAAUGGAGACAGAUGAUAGAAACUGCACAUCAUUGAGCAAGAGGGACACCAUGGAUAAUGGAAAGAUCUACGGCAAGGCUGGCUGUCUGCCCUGUCUAAGGAGGACGUACUGGACCAUCCUGCUCUGCACAUCCAGAUGUGUCCAUGAAUACAUCCAUAAAACGAUGGCCUGUGGAAUCCUAUAGGAAAAUGAUCCAGAGCCUGGGCGGUCAGAAGGAACAAACACUUGAUUUACAAAAUAAAUCUUCUAUGUUUAUGUUUUAAAGACACACAGAGGAAAAACAUUUUUAAAUUCAUGAUUUCCCCCCCCAGAUUUUAACUAUUGUAAUCUCUUUCUUUCCUGAGCCUUAGGCAUCUUCAUUAUAAACCAAAAGAUAUAACUUGAGAUUUUCCCAGGGUUUAUAUACUCGUUAGAGUUGGAAACAUGAAAAUGGCAAUUUGGGAUGUCUCUUUGGAGUCAAAAACCUUAUAAAAAUAUAAUGUACUUUCUCUCUCUCUUCAUUUCCUCAUUUUUCUGGUCAAAGCUAGAAGAGUAAG